CUUUGCACAGUGGCAGUUUCAUAGCCAAGGACAUUUACCUGAGAUGUGAUUAUUGCUAAUUAA
rnacentral:snRNA from 1 species